UCGGGAAUUUUGGGCAAUGGGCGAAAGCCUGACCCAGCAACGCCGCGUGAAGGAUGAAGUAUUUCGGUAUGUAAACUUCGAAAGAAUAGGAAGAAUAAAUGACGGUACUAUUUAUAAGGUCCGGCUAACUACGUGCCAGCAGCCGCGGUAAUACGUAGGGACCAAGCGUUGUUCGGAUUUACUGGGCGUAAAGGGCGCGUAGGCGGCAAUUCAAGUCAUCUGUGAAAUCUCCGGGCUUAACUCGGAACGGUCAGAUGAUACUGCUUUGCUAGAGUGCAGAAGGGGCAAUCGGAAUUCUUGGUGUAGCGGUGAAAUGCGUAGAUAUCAAGAGGAACACCUGAGGCGAAGGCGGGUUGCUGGGCUGAUACUGACGCUGAGGCGCGAAAGCUAGGGUAGCAAACGGGAUUAGAUACCCAAGUAGUCCCUGAGCGGGC
rnacentral:rRNA from 1 species